GAUAAACGCUGGCGGCGUGCCUAACACAUGCAAGUCGAACGCCCUACGCGAAGCGCAGGGAGUGGCGGACGGGUGAGUAUCACGUGGGUUAUCUACCCUGGGGUGAGGAAUACCGGCGAGAAAUCGCCGACAAGACCGCAUAGGUUUCGCGAGAAACAAAGCCGAAAGGCGCCACGGGAGGAGCCUGCGCCCGAUUAGCCGGUUGGUGGGGUAAUGGCCUACCAAAGCCACGAUCGGUCGCUGGUCUGAGAGGAUGAUCAGCCACACUGGGAUUGAG
rnacentral:rRNA from 1 species